rnacentral:sRNA from 1 species
UUGUAUUGCUCAGUCAUACCGGGCAGAGCAGUCCAGAACACGAAGGCACCUGGCUGAGUAUGAAGUUGUCUUUUUGUUUUAUUUCUUUCUAGGUAAUAUCUUUAGAGAAGAAAUCUUAGUGUAGGUAAAUUAUGUCUAUGUUUAAAAAAACAAAAAACUGAUAUAUUAAGUGGUUAAUGGAAGAACAUAUAACAAAGUUUUGCCACCUUAGAUCAUAGCUAAGUUCUCUUUUUUCACUUUGACUUGAUCUUUUAUAUAUAAAGGAGCAAACAAGAAAUUGCUACUCAGUGGAGAAGAGGGGAGUCCACAGCUAAUUUGCAAAGUUGGGAAUUGGUAGCAUUGUUGGCAUUUUAUGGACAGCUUCCCAAUGUUAAAAGCCUUGCUGGAUAAAAAACCAGUGCAGGAGAAAAGCAGUGCUGAGCUAUUGUCUCGUUCUUCAGGUACACUCACGUGGAAGCUGAGUGUCCUUUCCUGACCUUUGACGACCUCCUGAACCGGUUGGAGGACUUGGUUUGUGAUGUGGUAGAUCGAAUAUUGAAGUCACCUGCAGGGAGCAUAGUGCAUGAGCUCAACCCGAACUUUCAGCCCCCCAAACGGCCUUUCAAACGGAUGA